rnacentral:rRNA from 1 species
UACGUAGGGGGCAAGCGUUGUCCGGAAUUAUUGGGCGUAAAGCGCGCGCAGGCGGUCUUUUAAGUCUGAUGUGAAAGCCCACGGCUCAACCGUGGAGGGUCAUUGGAAACUGGGAGACUUGAGUGUAGGAGAGGAAAGUGGAAUUCCACGUGUAGCGGUGAAAUGCGUAGAGAUGUGGAGGAACACCAGUGGCGAAAGGCGGCUCACUGGACCGGUUCUGACGCUGAUGCGCGAAAGCGUGGGGAGCAAACGGG